rnacentral:rRNA from 1 species
UGAGCAAUCUGCCCUUCUCUUCGGAAUAAGCGUGGGAAACCGCGUCUAAUGCCGAAUACGACCUCCUUUCGCAUGAUCGGAGGUGGAAAGCUCCGGCGGAGAAGGAUGAGCUCGCGGCCUAUCAGCUAGUUGGUGUGGGUAAUGGCCCACCAAGGCGACGACGGGUAGCCGGCCUGAGAGGGUGACCGGCCACACUGGGACUGAGACACGGCCCAGACCUCCGUACGGGAGG